rnacentral:rRNA from 1 species
GACCUCAAAUCAGGUAGGAACACCCGCUGAACUUAAGCAUAUCAAUAAGCGGAGGAAAAGAAAAUAACAAUGAUUCCCCUAGUAACUGCGAGUGAAGAGGGACAAGCUCAAAUUUUAAAUCUGUUAGGUUCUACCUGACCGAGUUGUAAUUUGAAGAGGCGUUUUCUGUGGUUCUGAUCAGUCCAAGUCCUUUGGGAUAAGGCAUCGCGGAGGGUGAGAAUCCCGUUCGGUUGAUCAGGUCACUUUACGAUACGUCAUCAAAGAGUCAAGUUGUUUGGGAUUGCAGCUUAAAAUGGGAGGUAAAUUUCUCCUAAGGCUAAAUAACGGCGAGAGACCGAUAGCGAACAAGUACCGUGAGGGAAAGAUGAAAAGAACUUUGAAAAGAGAGUUAAACAGUACGUGAAAUUGUUGAAAGGGAAACGAUUAAAGCCAGUCGUACCGGCGGGUAAUCAGCCUUUUGGGUGUGAUUAUGUGGAACGUGAGGAGUUUAAUCGCCUUCAUGCCUGCAUAUUCGUGCACUUUGGGUGUACUUGCUCGUGUUGGUAGGUUAACAUCAAUUUCGAUCAUCAUAAAAUGAUUGGGGGAAUGUAGCUUCGAUCUCGUAUUGAAGUGUUAUAGACUCUGGUAGAUGUGAUGAUUGGGAUUGAGGAUUGCAACGGAUACCCUUCGGGGCUACCCGUCUGAUCUCUGAGAGUUACUCUGGUGCUGAAAGCGUGCUUACGGUAUCAAAGUUGACGUUCAAUAGGUUAGAACGGGUUAAAUUCGUUAAGGAUGUUGACGUAAUGGCUUUAAACGACCCGUCUUGAAACACGGACCA